CAUGGCUUAGUGGUAGAGUGCUUGCCUAGCAUGCAUGAAGCCCUGGGUUCGAUUCCUCAGUG
rnacentral:tRNA from 1 species